rnacentral:tRNA from 1 species
CCUGUGGUAGCUAAAAGGUCAAGGAAUUGGACUCGAAAUCCAGUGAAGGAUUGUGGUGUAGGUUCGAAUUUUGCUCACAGCA